CGAGGGGGCGGGGCCGGCCUCUGCUCGCCGGUUUUCGGUUGGGGGAUUUCUUUUACUUUCUUCAGUGGAACGCUCUGCAAAUGAAAGCCCCUGGCGACCACCAUUCUACUUUUUGUCUCUACGAACUUGACUGCUCUAGAUACCUCACAUAAGUGGAAUCAUGCAGGCCAAGACUGAGGAAUGCAUUUUAAUACUAAACCGUAAACCCAUCGUCCACCUUGACUUGGAGUGCACACUGACAAGAUAAGAGCUCUUCCGCAGACUUUGGCAAUGAGACUACAUAGAGCAGGUCACAGCAGCACGAGCUCACAUGGAAGACUGAACGCACUGCAGAAAAACACCACCCAACACCUUCCUAUCAACAGGAUACAUGGUAAUAAACGGCCUCCUCGUGCUAAACCAUUUUCCUGGACAUUCUAUGUUCUUCAGAUCUAUAAUUUUCAUAACUCAGUAGUCUUAAACCUCUGUGCUUUCAUUGCAUACACUGACAUGGGGUGCACUCUAUCCAUUGUAAGUCCAGAGAGUUACAGUUCUGUCUGCAGAGGACGACAGGAAGGAAAGA